rnacentral:rRNA from 1 species
GACGUAGGGCGCAAGCGUUGUCCGGAUUUAUUGGGCGUAAAGAGCUCGUAGGCGGUCUGUCGCGUCGGCUGUGAAAACCCGUGGCUCAACCCCGGGCCUGCAGUCGAUACGGGCUGACUAGAGUUCGGCAGGGGGAGACUGGAAUUCCGUGGUGUAGCGGUGAAAUGCGCAGAUAUCAGGAGGAACACCAGCGGCGAAGGCGGCGCUCUGGGCCGGAACUGACGCUGAGACGCGAAAGCGUGGGGAGCGAACAGG